rnacentral:rRNA from 1 species
GAUUGUAGGCUGAAACUCGCCUACAUGAAGCUGGAGUUACUAGUAAUCGCAGAUCAGAAUGCUGCGGUGAAUGCGUUCCCGGGUCUUGUACACACCGCCCGUCACACCACGGAAGUUGGGGGCGCCCGAAGCCACUUAGCUAACCCUUUUGGGAAGCGAGUGUCGAAGGUGAAAUCAAUAACUGGGGUGAAGUCGUAACAAGGUAAC